UACGACUACAUAUCAGGCAUAUCAAUAAGCGGAGGAAAAGAAACUAACAAGGAUUCCCUUAGUAACGGCGAGUGAAGCGGGAAGAGCUCAAAUUUGAAAUCUUCAAGGUUUUACCUUGACGAAUUGUAGUUUAAAGAAGUGUUUUCUGUUGAAGUUUUGGUAAAAGUUCUUUGGAAUAGGACAUCAUAGAGGGUGAGAAUCCCGUAUUUGACCAUUAUUUUCAGCUGUGUGAUACACUUUCAAAGAGUCGGAUUGUUUGGGAAUGCAGUCCAAAAUGGGUGGUAAAUUUCAUCUAAAGCUAAAUAUUGGCGAGAGACCGAUAGCGAACAAGUACCGUGAGGGAAAGAUGAAAAGAACUUUGAAAAGAGAGUUAAACAGUACGUGAAAUUGUCAAAAGGGAAGCGUUUGACACCAGUGUUGUUUUCUCGAAAAUCAAUUAAAAAUAGUUGGAUUUUGUGUUGUAUUGACCUUAACAGCUUGCUUCACUCUUUUCCAGCUUUUUUUAAUGCACUUUUCGUUUAACAAGUCAACAUCAGUUUCUUUUGUUGUAAAAGGGUCAUUGGAAGGUGGCUUUCUCUUCGGAGAAAGUGUUUAUAGCCUUUGAUCUCUGCAAUCGGAGAGACUGAGGUCUGCAGCGUAGAUCCUUCGGGGUUAGAUAUAUUUGUGCUAAGCUACAGCUUUUCAUAGACAACUUGUUGACUAUGUUUAGUCUUGUAACUUACCCGCUUAUGCUAUUUUACCUACGCUUAGGAUGUUGAGCGCAUGUCUCUCUCU
rnacentral:rRNA from 1 species